rnacentral:lncRNA from 1 species
CCCCAAAAAAAUCUAAUUUUUAAUCAAUCAGAAGAAGAAAAAAAAACAUAUUUUUAUAUGCUUCUGAAGCUAAAUCUUACAAAGAAACUAUAAUAUUCAAGAGAAUCCAUUAUCACCAAAUUUCAAUUGCUAAAAUAUUGAAGAAACAAACAAAAGAUUGAAUUUUUCUCAUUUCACACACAAUUGUCUUUCUCUAUCUCUCACUACGCUUAAACCCACAAUAGGGAAAGUCUCAAAGAAAAGAUAAAAAGAAGAGGUCAACUAACUCUGCUAGCAUAUGGAUCAAGACAUGUGUGAGAGUUUUUCUGGCAUAGCUUCCCCUUCCUCUUGCUGAAACUGUGCUAAUCAUAUUCAAAUAUAGCAUGCAACCAAAUGGUGAGAAUAAAAUGAGAAUACAUUUGAGAGGAAAAAUAUAAAUGAGAUUCACCAAAUCUUACAAAUAAAUUCAAAACAGAAAAUUGAAAACCUAAAUAAAAGUCAUUAAACAAAACCACCAAAAUCUUAGGGUAGUGUUUUUAACUGAGGAAUGGUUAAAGAACAAAUUUGAAAAACAAAUUAAAAAAUGGAGAUGGAGAUUUAAGAGGAUGUAUGUAGAAAAUGAGAAAGAAUCAGUUGAAUUUGAAAUAAAUGUAUAGAUUAAACUAGAAAAGCAAAUUGUAAGAGGAAUGAAGGUUUGAUUUUGUUGUACUACUAACCCUAGAAUUUCUUCUUCCUUCUCCUGCGUUGGUUAAUGGAGAGAGGAGUGACGGCACGUGCUGCGGUGAGAUCGGAAGUUUGAC